rnacentral:lncRNA from 1 species
UUGGUGACCUUGUCAAGCAAGAUCUAAAGUGCAAAAUCCUGAAUAAAGUACUUCAAGGUAAGGGCAAGUCACUCCGAAAGCUAGAAAAAGUCUUAAUUGAACAAAUAAUAUGUGCAUGUAUGAUCUCUCUUGAGGAAAAUAAAUCCUAACCAUGGUAGGUAAAAAGAGACAAGGAAAAGAGGAAAGUAACAUUGGUGCAUACACUCUUCACUGCAAUGCUUCAAAGUAGGGGUCUAGAGUGAGAGCUAAAGUGGUAAUAAGG